rnacentral:rRNA from 1 species
UACAUGGGGUGCAAACGUUGCUCGGAAUUAUUGGGCGUAAAGCGCGCGUAGGCGGUUACUUAAGUCGGAUGUGAAAGCCCUCGGCUUAACUGAGGAAGUGCACCCGAAACUGAGUAGCUAGAGUACGAAAGAGGGUCGCGGAAUUCCCGGUGUAGAGGUGAAAUUCGUAGAUAUCGGGAGGAACACCGGUGGCGAAGGCGGCGACCUGGGUCGAUACUGACGCUGAUGCGCGAAAGCGUGGGGAGCAAACAGG